AGGGCUAUCGCCAAGCGGUAAGGCAACGGAUUCUGACUCCGUCAUUCGAAGGUUCGAAUCCUUCUAGCCCUACCA
rnacentral:tRNA from 1 species